AUCAAACAUUUAAAUAAUAUCAAUCUUAUACCACAUGUAAUGUAAUAAAUAAGACAGACGCUUCAAUAGUGGAAAAAUUAAGCAAAACAGAAACCAGACUAAUUCGAUAAAAAGUGUUCACCUGAUGUAGAGCAUCUGAUUUUAACCGUUCCACUUACUUUAUCGGAAUUGACUGCUAAUGGAACAGAGUGGACUCGGCUGGGACUCGCAUCUUUUAAAAUAUAUAAGUUUCCGAAAAAACGAUUUCAAGAUAAUUUAAAUAAUAUUAUAAAUAAAACAUUAAAGGGGAUGCUUCCCAAAGAAAAAAAAUUGUUUUCCAAAUGCGCUGCCAUUUCUAACUGUAACUAACUGUAAGCCGACUAUUACAGAAAGCACUGACUUCAUUCAGUCUUCACUUAAUAACUAAAACAGUAUAGGUAGUAUUAAGUGCUAAUUUGAUGGAAUUGUACAAACAGAUAGUACUUAUGUGCUCUUCUAAUAUUAUCAAUUAAAUUAUGCUAUUAAUUAAAAGUCUAAUAACGUGUUAUAAGAUUUGUGUGUAGUCCAUUCAUUUCAUAGAGCGUCGACCGAAAGCACUUGCUUCCAACAACAUUUAUAGUUUGAUUGUAAGACUAAUAUUAAUUUAGAUAUAUAUAUAUAUAUAUAUAUAUAUAUUAAUAUAAACUCUGUUAAACUAUAUUUAAUGCGGAGUCAGAAUAGUUCAGUUUUUAUGUUGCGAGCUGUGUGGCACGGGAAGGCUUUUCAGCAAGCAUAGCAGAAGUAUUGCUCAUGGAAACAGGGUUUUGAUGGUAAAAUCCUUUAAGGCGGAAACCAAGGAUUUGCAUCACGGUAAGCCCUCUAAAAAUGAGUGAUAAUCCUGUGAUAGCUUAGAUCAAUGAGCUUGCCCUUUCUAUUUUUUUCUUUUUAUUAAAUUUUUUUGGUUUGGUAUAGUGCGAUAGUUUAAUGUGGAGUUUCUUGAUCUUUAUACCAUUCGUUGAAAAAGGAAGGAACCGUUUCCGACCAUAUAAAAUAUAUAUAUUCUUGAUCUGGAUCAAUAGCCCAGUCGAUUUGGACAAGUCCAUCUGUCCGUCCGUCUGUCCAUAUGGACGUCAAGAUCUCAGGAACUAUAGGGGCUAGAAAGUAAAGAUUAAUCAUACAGUUUUCAGAUACAUAGACGCAGCGGAAGUUUGUUGGCCAUGUUGCCACGCCCACAAACUGCCAAAAAACGGUCAAUGUUGAAAUUUCUGCUUCGCACUUCCACUAGCUCUUGUUUCUUCUCCUAAAGAAUUUGAGGUCGUGACCCGUGGUCCCACGCGUUUUUCGCGAUAUGUGAGAGACAGAAAAUGCAAAAGAGAAGGAAGAACUAAUAGGAGCUCUUGGCCUGCCGAUGUCCUGGCAGCUAUCACCAAGAGUGGAGCGGUUACUGAGCGAUAAAAAUUCCUUAUUAGGUUGGAACAGCAGAUUCGAUUAUUAGUUCUAUCUCCCCUAAUAAAGUCUAGGAAGGAAAAACAACAAGGAAAACAUAUAUAUAUAUAUAUGUGUUCGAAACAGAUCGCUACUGUAACACUGUACCUGCAUUAAUAUAGCCUAUUUGUGCGCUCUUAUUAGUUAUAACCUUAGGGGUGGCAUAUUGGUUGUCUUCCCCAUAAACAUUUGGUGACCCCGAUGUGAUCUCACCUUUGAUCGGAUUCUGCAUAUAGAUCUUGGUAUUGUUUAAUAACGUUUAAACAAAACAGUGUUGUGCAAGCUUUGAUUCGGUAAAUAAACUCAGUAAAUUUUAAUUAAACGCUGAUUCAGUUAAUCAGUUUGAUGAUGCUGACUUACUGGCUCGGGUGGAAUGAAUAAAUUUCCUAAGCUUGGCGUAUGAUUCGGCGCAGACAUCGGUGGAAAAGAUGAAUCUCGAGUAAACAUCGGUUUGAAUUUUGAAUUCAACAUCUAUUGAUAUUAUUAACUGUUGUAAAUGUCCAUAUAUCUAUGUAUAUAAUUGUAUACAUGAGAAUGGUUUUAACACGACCAUAUAUUGACAUUUGCAAAAUCCUCAUUGAUAUGCUAAUGAUAGAAAGGACUGACUAAUGUGGUGUUACGGCCUGCUGAUUUUGAUGGGGCAAGGCCGGCUAGCCAGUCAUCAACAGGGCGGAUUCUUCCCCUGUGCCCACAGGUCGCACCAUAAAUUCCACUCGGCAUGGAAUCCACAAAAACAACAAAGAAACAUCAACAGAAACUACAAGUAAAGGACUAAUACCGGACGACACGACGCAGAUUUGGGUCUUCGAUGGAAAGGACCCUGACGCACCCAUCCCUACCAAGAAUCCGUCUAUUUCCCAUUUGAGGAUCUCCCUGGCAUGUGGUUCAUCGGCUUCCUCCAGGCUUCCAUCGCCCUGGGCCAAAGCAAAUACGAUACAAAAAAAAAAAAAAAAGGACGACGAACGAAAGAGCGGGAGAGGACAACAAAGACGCGAAACUACUGCACGGAAUUCCUGCCUACAUGGAGCUCCAAGGAGGAUCAGGGGCUGAGACGGGUCAGGUGGUUAUUUAUGAAAGGUCCAUACCCCUACACAGGAUCGGCCUGGUCUUCUCGGAGGUCGUAUCUCAAGAUUUAGAUUUAAUUUGGCUUGGACUCAGCGCGAUUUAAUUAUACAUACAUUAUUGGUUAUUUAUAUCAUAUUUAUAAUUUUUUUAUCAUCGUUUACGUGUUUUAGGUUUUUUUGUCUGUCAAACAAAUAUUUGUGUGUUUGUUUAGGGCAUGCUAAA